UAGAUCAGUGAUGACCCCUGGUGUUGUAUGGGUCAUGGACGGUGAAUCUUUCUGGAAUGCUGAGGUCUAU
rnacentral:snoRNA from 1 species